UACGGAGGAUCCGAGCGUUAUCCGGAUUUAUUGGGUUUAAAGGGUGCGCAGGCGGGAGAUUAAGUCGGCGGUGAAAUUUUGCGGCUCAACUGUAAAAGUGCCUUCGAAACUGGUUUCCUUGAGUGUAGAUGAAGUAGGCGGAAUUUGUGGUGUAGCGGUGAAAUGCAUAGAUAUCACGAGGAACUCCGAUUGCGCAGGCAGCUUACUAAACCACUACUGACGCUCAUGCACGAAGGCGUGGGGAGUCAAACAGGAUUAGAUACCCCGUACGU
rnacentral:rRNA from 1 species